GCGCCCGUAGCUCAGCUGGAUAGAGCGUCUGACUACGAAUCAGAAGGUCGCAGGUUCGAAUCCUGUCGGGCGUACCA
rnacentral:tRNA from 1 species